CGUAGGGUGCGAGCGUUAAUCGGAAUUACUGGGCGUAAAGCGUGCGCAGGCGGUUUUGUAAGACAGAUGUGAAAUCCCCGGGCUCAACCUGGGACCUGCAUUUGUGACUGCAAGGCUUGAAUUCGGGAGAGGGAUGUGGAAUUCCAGGUGUAGCGGUGAAAUGCGUAGAUAUCUGGAGGAACACCGGUGGCGAAGGCGACAUCCUGGACCGACAUUGACGCUGAGGCGCGAAAGCCAGGGGAGCAAACGGGAUUAGAUACCCCGGUAGUCCUGGCCCUAAACGAUGAAUGCUUGGUGUGGCGGGUAUCGAUCCCUGCCAUGCCGAAGCUAACGCAUUAAGCAUUCCGCCUGGGGAGUACGGUCGCAAGGCUG
rnacentral:rRNA from 1 species